rnacentral:lncRNA from 1 species
GUAUUUGUACUAAGCCUGGUGUGGUUUUACUUCUGUAAAGUAAAUUUCUUACUUUUUUCUUGGCGAGUUUUUUCAGAGACAGUGGCCUGGGCUGGGUUUAGGACUUUGUUUGGCAUUUACUUGGGCGCAGGUUGUGCACUGGAGAGCUGCUUAAUCUGUUAGGCUUUGAAGAUGGGGGAUCUUAAAAUGGCUCUGGAGGAGCUGAGACAGACAAGGGGAGGGGUUCCUGUGAUGGGAUCAGUCAGAUGCCUGCCUGGCCGCUCCCCGUGAGGGGACUUGGGCUCCUCUUAGCAUUGGCAGGCCGGUAUAAACUUCCGGCUCAGAUUGAGCUAUGCCUGAUGCUGCCUUAAGCCUUAUGAGGUCGCCAAGGAACCGCAGAAACUCCUGGAGGGCAGAGCUGUGUCUGCCAUCUUCAUCAUUGCAUUACCACCACCCAGCACAGUGCCUGGCACAAAAGAGUUGCUCAAUAAAUAAAUCAGGAUGAAUGAAUAAACACAUGGAUAGGCACUUUGAACUACAGAUGAGUUUAAAUACUUUGUGUUUUUCUUAGUCAAACAUGUGCAAUUAAGCAUGUGAUAAAUGAUAUGAUGACCACAUGUGUGUCUUGCCUGAUGUUCUUUGCAAUCACUAAAUGAAGUCAAUUGUGCCUGUUUUGACAGUUCUGUUUUCAACCUAAUGAUCUGUUUCUUUUAACUUCUGGCUGUUGGCUUUGUUUGGGUUUGUUAGCCUGACAAAGUGGCAGAUAUUGGUAUUUGCUCUUUUGUUUAAAUGUCUGUCAUGAACUUUAAAAAUGCCUUUGCUUUUGGUAAGAAACCCUAGUUAGGACAGUCUAGCAGUCAGGAUGAUUUGGGUUCUGGUGCAGUAACAACAAUCCCCAAAUCUCAGUGGAUCCAUGCAGUGAGGUAUUUGUUUGUGUGUUUGUUUUUUGAGACAGGGUCUCACUCUCUCACCCAGACUAGGGUGCAAUGGUGCAACCUCAGCUCACUGCAACCUAUGGCUCCCAGACUCAAGCAAUUCUCCUGCCUCCUGAGUAGCUGGGAUUACAGGCCUGUGCCACUACUGUCUCACUAAUUUUUGUACUUUAGUAGAGACAGGAUAUCACCAUGUUAGCCAGGCUGAUCUUGAACUCCUGACCUCAAAUGAUCCACCCGCCUUGGCCUCCCAAAGUGCUGGGAUGACAGGCAUGAGCCACCAUGCCUGGCCACAGUGAGGCUUAUUCUUGGUCACGUUGCAUGUCUGGGCUGUGUUAGGGCAUUGUGGGGUGGUCUGUUCAUUGUGUUCACUCAGGGAUCCAGGCUGA